rnacentral:rRNA from 1 species
GGAUGCGAUCAUACCAGCACUAAUGCACCGGAUCCCAUCAGAACUCCGACACCUUUCGGGUGGAAGUUAAAGAGUAGUACUAGGAUGGGUGACCCCCUGGGAAGUCCUCGUGUUGCAUCCC